rnacentral:rRNA from 1 species
UGAGCAACCUGCCCUUGACCCUGGAAUAACAGCUGGAAACAGCUGCUAAUACCGGAUACGACCUCCGAUGGCAUCAUCUGGAGGUGGAAAGCUCCGACGGUCAAGGAUGGGCUCGCGGCCUAUCAGCUUGUUGGUGAGGUAACGGCUCACUAAGGCUUCGACGGGUAGCCGGCCUGAGAGGGCGACCGGCCACACUGGGACUGAGAUACGGCCCAGACCUCCCGUAGGGACGG